CCUACGGGUGGCUGCAGUGAGGAAUAUUGGUCAAUGGCCGGAAGGCUGAACCAGCCAAGCAGCGUGAAGGACGACGGUGCCAAGCAUUGUAAACUUCUUUUGUCAGGGGACAAAAUCAGGCUCGAGAGCCUGUCCGAGGGUACUUGAUGAAAAAGCAUCGACUAACUCCGUGCCAGCAGCCGCGGUAAUACGGAGGAUGCGAACGUUAUCCGGAUUUAUUGGGUUUAAAGGGUGGGUAGGCGGGCUGUUAAGUCAGCGGGAAAAGCCGGGGGCUCAACCCCGGCGUGCCGUUGAAACUGGCUGUCUUGAGAUGUCGAGAGGUAUGCGGAAUGCGCAGUGUAGCGGUGAAAUGCUUAGAUAUUGCGAAGAACUCCGAUUGCGAAGGCAGCAUACCGGCGGCGAACUGACGCUGAGGCACGAAAGCGUGGGUAUCGAACAGGAUUAGAUACCCCAGUAGUC
rnacentral:rRNA from 1 species